GUGUCCCUUAGGGGCUGGAGUGGUAUAUACUUUUGUAUUUUAUGAUUUUAUGCUUUUCUAAAAAAGUCUUUGAAAAAGCCCCGAUAGGAGACCCUAUCUAUAGACCUUAUUUAUAGGCUAUAUUAAUAUAUUUACUAAUACUAUAUACUCUUGUUUCUUCUGAUUUUUUUAUAGCAGAGGAAGUUGCAGUGACUGAACCUGUACCUGAGCCUGCACCAGAACCUGCACCUGCACCAGAACCUGCACCAGAGCCUGAAGCUGAACCUGCAAUACGUGUUAGGAGAGCCGGAGAAGCAGUACGAAGACGUUAUCGGAGGCUUUCGAUGACCCAUCAACAGCAAAGGAGGAUGACCAGAGCCCCCCACACCUUCCGUGACAAGCAGUUAUACCUUCGAGGAAUCGUUGAUAUGUUUAAUGCAGGGAUCCAGGGAAUUAUUUCCGUAGCUCAAAACAUGUAAGGUGUGACAUUUUUUGAAGGUGGGACAAAAAAACAAAAAA